rnacentral:rRNA from 1 species
AGAGUUUGAUCCUGGCUCAGGACGAACGCUGGCGGCGUGCUUAACACAUGCAAGUCGAGCGAUGAAGCUUCCUUCGGGAAGUGGAUUAGCGGCGGACGGGUGAGUAACACGUGGGUAACCUGCCUCAAAGUGGGGGAUAGCCUUCCGAAAGGAAGAUUAAUACCGCAUAAUAUAAGAGAAUCGCAUGAUUUUCUUAUCAAAGAUUUAUUGCUUUGAGAUGGACCCGCGGCGCAUUAGCUAGUUGGUGAGGUAACGGCUUACCAAGGCAACGAUGCGUAGCCGACCUGAGAGGGUGAUCGGCCACAUUGGAACUGAGACACGGUCCAGACUCCUACGGGAGGCAGCAGUGGGGAAUAUUGCGCAAUGGGGGAAACCCUGACGCAGCAACGCCGCGUGGGUGAUGAAGGUCUUCGGAUUGUAAAGCCCUGUUUUCUAGGACGAUAAUGACGGUACUAGAGGAGGAAGCCACGGCUAACUACGUGCCAGCAGCCGCGGUAAUACGUAGGUGGCGAGCGUUGUCCGGAUUUACUGGGCGUAAAGGGUGCGUAGGCGGAUGUUUAAGUGGGAUGUGAAAUCCCCGGGCUUAACCUGGGGGCUGCAUUCCAAACUGGAUAUCUAGAGUGCAGGAGAGGAAAGCGGAAUUCCUAGUGUAGCGGUGAAAUGCGUAGAGAUUAGGAAGAACACCAGUGGCGAAGGCGGCUUUCUGGACUGUAACUGACGCUGAGGCACGAAAGCGUGGGUAGCAAACAGGAUUAGAUACCCUGGUAGUCCACGCCGUAAACGAUGGAUACUAGGUGUAGGGGGUAUCAACUCCCCCUGUGCCGCAGUUAACACAAUAAGUAUCCCGCCUGGGGAGUACGGUCGCAAGAUUAAAACUCAAAGGAAUUGACGGGGGCCCGCACAAGCAGCGGAGCAUGUGGUUUAAUUCGAAGCAACGCGAAGAACCUUACCUGGACUUGACAUCCCUUGCAUAGCCUAGAGAUAGGUGAAGCCCUUCGGGGCAAGGAGACAGGUGGUGCAUGGUUGUCGUCAGCUCGUGUCGUGAGAUGUUAGGUUAAGUCCUGCAACGAGCGCAACCCUUGUUAUUAGUUGCUACCAUUAAGUUGAGCACUCUAAUGAGACUGCCUGGGUAACCAGGAGGAAGGUGGGGAUGACGUCAAAUCAUCAUGCCCCUUAUGUCCAGGGCUACACACGUGCUACAAUGGUAGGUACAAUAAGACGCAAGACCGUGAGGUGGAGCAAAACUUAUAAAACCUAUCUCAGUUCGGAUUGUAGGCUGCAACUCGCCUACAUGAAGCUGGAGUUGCUAGUAAUCGCGAAUCAGAAUGUCGCGGUGAAUACGUUCCCGGGCCUUGUACACACCGCCCGUCACACCAUGAGAGCUGGUAACACCCGAAGUCCGUGAGGUAACCGUAAGGAGCCAGCGGCCGAAGGUGGGAUUAGUGAUUGGGGUGAAGUCGUAACAAGGUAGCCGUAGGAGAACCUGCGGCUGGAUCACCUCC